rnacentral:rRNA from 1 species
UACGUAGGGUGCGAGCGUUGUCCGGAAUUAUUGGGCGUAAAGGGCUCGUAGGCGGUCUGUCGCGUCGGGAGUGAAAACUCAGGGCUUAACCCUGAGCCUGCUUCCGAUACGGGCAGACUAGAGGUAUGCAGGGGAGAACGGAAUCCUGGUGUAGCGGUGGAAUGCGCAGAUAUCAGGAGGAACACCGGUGGCGAAGGCGGUCUCUGGAACGCAACUGACGCUGAGACGCGAAAGCGUGGGGAGCAAACAGG